rnacentral:lncRNA from 1 species
CUAGGGAGUCUGCGCGGGCGCGGGGCGCAGGAGCUGCUCCAGUGACGGGCUGCUGACUCUCAGUCUUCUCUGACUCUAAAUGUGGAGUCCUUUAUAAAUAACUUUUGUGAUUAAAAAGGACAGGUCGGUGAGGGAUGAAAUGUGAUUCGAGGGUGACACGAAGGAAUUGUUUUCCGUGAGACAGAGGGACACGUGCAGCUGGGGCGAAGGGAGUGUCCAUAAUUCCCCAGCUGCUGGGGCUGCGGAGCAAAACGGGACUUCCACUGUCAGGAACUAGAAACCAGGCGAAUCAAACCGGGGGAACUGAGGCUCUGUGAUGCCGGGUGCAGAACAAACAAGAAGCAAGGCUGAGAGCUACGGUGAGCCCCCACCUCUGCCACAGGCCAACUAAAGAGGGUUUGAAACCUGCACCAACUACCCAGAGAAUGUGCUCUCCUUCAGUUUCCCAUUGGAUGCGGGUUCCUGGAACUAAGUGGAAACAGACAUUGAGGACUCGAUGCAAACAGUCCUCAGGAUCAGGGUGAUGGAGAGGGGUGAGGACCUGCAGCACUGGCCUGCCUGCCCGGGGCGCCUCCAUCACAGGGGGCUGGGCAGGGGAAGCAUCCACCUGCGGCCUCUCACGGGCUGAUGGGGGAGCUUGUUGCAACCAACGAAACUUGCAUGUCUUCAGUGGUCUUUCAACAACCAAAGUGGCUCUACCAAGGGCGUUGUGCUAAACGGCUGCCUCUGUGGAGGCCACAGCCCACGUCUCAGCUGACCGC